rnacentral:rRNA from 1 species
CGGUAUUGUGACCGUGCAAAGGUAGCAUAAUCAUUAGUCUUUUAAUUGAAGGCUGGUAUGAAUGGUUGGACGAGAAAUUAACUGUCUCAAAUUUUGAAAAUUGAAUUUUACUUUUAAGUGAGAAGGCUUAAAUGUGCUAGAGGGACGAUAAGACCCUAUAAAGUUUUGUACAUUAAACCAAUUAAUAGGCGAUUUAGGUUUGUAAGGUUUACUAUUAGGUAGAUGUUUGGUUGGGGCGACUAGGAUAUAAGUUAUUUAACUGUUCUUUGUUAGAAUCAAAGGUAUUUGAGUUUAUGAUCCUUUUUAAGGGUUAUAGAAUAAAUUACUUUAGGGAUAACAGCGUAAUUUUUUUUGAGAGUUCCUAUCGACAAAAGAGUUUGCGACCUCGAUGUUGAAUUAAAAUUUCUUUGUGGCGUAGAAGUUACAGGAGAAGG